AUUGAACGCUGGCGGCAUGCUUUACACAUGCAAGUCGAACGGUAACAGGCCGCAAGGUGCUGACGAGUGGCGAACGGGUGAGUAAUGCAUCGGAACGUGCCCAGUCGUGGGGGAUAACGCAGCGAAUGCUGCGCUAAUACCGCAUACGAUCUAUGGAUGAAAGCGGUGGACCGUAAGGCCUCGCGCGAUUGGAGCGGCCGAUGCCGGAUUAGGUAGUUGGUGGGGUAAAGGCUCACCAAGCCAACGAUCUGUAGCUGGUCUGAGAGGACGACCAGCCACACUGGGACUGAGACACGGCCCAGACUCCUACGGGAGGCAGCAGUGGGGAAUUUUGGACAAUGGGCGCAAGCCUGAUCCAGCAAUGCCGCGUGCAGGAAGAAGGCCUUCGGGUUGUAAACUGCUUUUGUACGGAACGAAACGGUCCUGGUUAAUACCUGGGGCUAAUGACGGUACCGUAAGAAUAAGCACCGGCUAACUACGUGCCAGCCGCCGCAGUAAGAC
rnacentral:rRNA from 1 species